GCUGACGAGUGGCGGACGGGUGAGUAAUGUCUGGGAAACUGCCUGAUGGAGGGGGAUAACUACUGGAAACGGUGGCUAAUACCGCAUAACGUCGCAAGACCAAAGAGGGGGACCUUCGGGCCUCUUGCCAUCAGAUGUGCCCAGAUGGGAUUAGCUUGUUGGUGAGGUAACGGCUCACCAAGGCGACGAUCCCUAGCUGGUCUGAGAGGAUGACCAGCCACACUGGAACUGAGACACGGUCCAGACUCCUACGGGAGGCAGCAGUGGGGAAUAUUGCACAAUGGGCGCAAGCCUGAUGCAGCCAUGCCGCGUGUAUGAAGAAGGCCUUCGGGUUGUAAAGUACUUUCAGCGGGGAGGAAGGUGUUGUGGUUAAUAACCGCAGCAAUUGACGUUACCCGCAGAAGAAGCACCGGCUAACUCCGUGCCAGCAGCCGCGGUAAUACGGAGGGUGCAAGCGUUAAUCGGAAUUACUGGGCGUAAAGCGCACGCAGGCGGUCUGUCAAGUCGGAUGUGAAAUCCCCGGGCUCAACCUGGGAACUGCAUUCGAAACUGGCAGGCUUGAGUCUUGUAGAGGGGGGUAGAAUUCCAGGUGUAGCGGUGAAAUGCGUAGAGAUCUGGAGGAAUACCGGUGGCGAAGGCGGCCCCCUGGACAAAGACUGACGCUCAGGUGCGAAAGCGUGGGGAGCAAACAGGAUUAGAUACCCUGGUAGUCCACGCCGUAAACGAUGUCUACUUGGAGGUUGUGCCCUUGAGGCGUGGCUUCCGGAGCUAACGCGUUAAGUAGACCGCCUGGGGAGUACGGCCGCAAGGUUAAAACUCAAAUGAAUUGACGGGGGCCCGCACAAGCGGUGGAGCAUGUGGUUUAAUUCGAUGCAACGCGAAGAACCUUACCUGGUCUUGACAUCCACAGAACUUUCCAGAGAUGGAUUGGUGCCUUCGGGAACUGUGAGACAGGUGCUGCAUGGCUGUCGUCAGCUCGUGUUGUGAAAUGUUGGGUUAAGUCCCGCAACGAGCGCAACCCUUAUCCUUUGUUGCCAGCGGUUAGGCCGGGAACUCAAAGGAGACUGCCAGUGAUAAACUGGAGGAAGGUGGGGAUGACGUCAAGUCAUCAUGGCCCUUACGACCAGGGCUACACACGUGCUACAAUGGCGCAUACAAAGAGAAGCGACCUCGCGAGAGCAAGCGGACCUCAUAAAGUGCGUCGUAGUCCGGAUUGGAGUCUGCAACUCGACUCCAUGAAGUCGGAAUCGCUAGUAAUCGUGGAUCAGAAUGCCACGGUGAAUACGUUCCCGGGCCUUGUACACACCGCCCGUCACACCAUGGGAGUGGGUUGCAAAAGAAGUAGGUAGCUUAACCUUCGGGAGGGCGCUUACCACUUUGUGAUUCAUGACUGGGGUGAAGUCGUAACAAGGUAACCGUAGGGGAACCUGCGGUUGGAUCACCUCCUUACCUUAAAGAAGC
rnacentral:rRNA from 2 species